rnacentral:tRNA from 1 species
UAUUCAAAUAGUUUAAUAAAAAUACUAGUUUGUGGAACUAGAGAUAUAUGAUUAUUUUGAAU